CGAAAAACGAAUCCUAAACGGUGGAUCACUCGA
rnacentral:rRNA from 1 species